GGGGGGUAAGAUGUACGCAGUCCAUACCUCUACCUCUGAUGAAGUAGAAAGGCUGUUUCCGAUAGACCCCCGGCUCAAGGCACGAGAUACCACACAAACACAUAGUGCAGCACAGAAGCAGAUUACAUAACAUAAAUACGGCACCCAUAAGUAAUACAAAGCAGAGGAAAGCAGGGGAAAGCACACAGAUUCGUAAUACAACAUGGAACACGGAAC
rnacentral:lncRNA from 1 species